UGCAUUUGGGGAGGAGAGAGGAAGGGGGAUGGGCAUGUCCUCAGUCUCUCCUGGGCCUUCCUGAAAGUGCUCCUAGCCUGUGCCCUGGGUGGGCACUGAAGUCACAGUGAAGUCACAGUGAAGUCAGACUCCUAUCAUAGUGAAGUGAAGUCUGACUUCGCUGACUUCCUGUGUUUGGGGGUUGGUGUGUGUUAGCGCUUUGGGUUGGCAGACAAGCUUCCUCCAGUUUUCAGGGUUACAGUUACACAGAGGACUAUGGAUGGAAAGUUGCCUCUCAAGAGAUACCAACUGGCCAGUUUCCAAAGUUUAGGGAAACCAAGGACAGUCUUCACAUUGUUUCUCCACUGAUAUUCACCAUGCAGAAGCAGACCUGGAAAAGGAGUUUGGGGUAUCAAGGAUCACCACCCAUGAAGGGAAAAGGGAGGAAGAAGAUUAAGGAGAGGAAGAAUACAGACCCCCCCCAAAAGCCUUGGCCACUCUGUAAGGGAAUUCUAGAAUAUGUGUUGCCCAUUAGUGUCCCCUGUCAAGCAGAAAUGGCCAGGACU
rnacentral:lncRNA from 1 species